rnacentral:rRNA from 1 species
CGCACGGGUGAGUAACACGUAUCCAACCUGCCGUCUACUCUUGGACAGCCUUCUGAAAGGAAGAUUAAUACAAGAUGGCAUCAUGAGUUCACAUGUUCACAUGAUUAAAGGUAUUCCGGUAGACGAUGGGGAUGCGUUCCAUUAGGUAGUAGGCGGGGUAACGGCCCACCUAGUCUUCGAUGGAUAGGGGUUCUGAGAGGAAGGUCCCCCACAUUGGAACUGAGACACGGUCCAA